GCGCCGGCGCGCGUGUGUGUGUGUGUGUGUGUGUGUGUGUGUGUGUGUGUGUGUGUGUGUGUGUGUGUGGUGUAGGUCCACAUAGGUUUAUGUGUAUGCUUCGUGUUGAUCUCAGGUGUCUUCCUUAGUAACUCUCCACCUUAUAUAAUGAGGCAGGGUCUCUCACAGAAUUUAAAACUCACUGUUUUGGUUAGUUUGGCUGGCCAGCUUGGACUGGGGAUUCCCUGUCUCUGCCUCUGGUGGAUUGGGCUCCACCAUUCCACCUAGCUUUUAUGUCACUUCCGGGGGUUUGAACUCUGAUCUUUGCACCUGUGGAGCAAAGGCUUCAGUUACUGAGUUAUCACAGUACUUUUGAGCCUUCAACUUUCCGUUAAGCUGGAGUAGAUGGAAACUGCCUGGUUGGACUUCUUGGAAUUUUAAGCAUAAUGUAUGUAAAGUAUCUACCAAUUACAGAUGCCUAAUGAAUGCUAGCUCCCUUGAGGGCAGCCGUGUCAUGUAAUACAUUAUGCAUGGCUUAGUUAGAUCUAUUUUAUCCUCUCGAAUUGCUUCAAAGUAUUGCUAUACAUACCACAGUAUAUAUGUUUUAGGGAAAGUUAACUUAUUAUUAUACAUAUAGGCAUGAUUCACAAAUAACUUUAUGAAGAAAGGUUUCAGCUAUACAAAAAGAACCAUACCUGAACAAACGCGUACCAUGCAAACACAUUACAGGUACCAGAGGAUGGAGAGUGUAUAGGAGGAUCCAACAGAGAUUAAUUUGAGCUUGUAUUUUUCCCUAUCUGGAUGACCAGCAGUAAAUUUGAGUCCUGGAAGGUGAAACUUCUUGGAAGGGACAGGUGUAGCUGUCCCCUACAGAGACGCGUUGAAAGGGCACAUUGCCUUUAAGUUGUGAGCCUGGCUUCUUUUAGAAGAGAACCUGAUGUGCUGUGUAAGGCAGAUCACCUCUAUUUCACAUUUCAGGAGAAAAUUCCACUUUCUACUUUGGAUUUUGGUAUUUGUAGAAUUUUUUUUCUUUUUAAGAGGAGAAUAUGAAGCGCUCUAAACACAAAGGGAAAGUUAAGAAUGUAUAUUCAUAAAAGGACGCAGCAUUUGAAACGAGAAGCCAUGGAGAAGAGAGAUUCUGGCAAUUCCUAGAGCUGGCAGAGGGCUCCUGUUUGAGGAUGUGAAAAUAUCCCCCUACAAACCUAGCCACGAGAGAAGCAGGCAGUUGAAAUGCAGGAGGAAUUCAAAUGACUGAAAACAAUGGAUGGUAUGGUAAUUAGCAAUCAGAAAAAUAAACUGUAAAGCACAACGAAGCAUCAUUAUGCAUUUUCUACUAGGGCAAACACUAAAUAGACUGAUAAUAGCUGACAACAGAGCAGGGCAGCGCUCCAGACACAGUGGGAGGGAGGACGGUUGGUAAACUAUUUAUGCGAUCCACUAAAGUUGGUGAUAUCCUUACAGACUAGUCAGAGACUCACAUCAGAGGAGUAGAUUCAACAGAAUAUUCAUUUCUAUUCUUAAUAGCCUUGAUCUGGAAACAGUCCAAACGUCCAAGUGAAUAGCUUUCUAAUUCUAUAUCGCUCUGGGCCUUCAUGAAAAUGAUCAUACUGUAGUUGCUUCGAGCGCCAUUGACAUUAUUCAUAUAAAAAGUAUUAGCAGAAAAGCUUGAUAUUAUUCUAAUUACCUAAAAAAGGGUGUGUGUGUGUGUGUGUGUGUGUGUGAGUGUGUGUGUGUGUGUGUGUGUGUGUGUGUGUUAACUUCUGUUUUUAAAAGAUGAACAUUUAAGCAGCAAAAUCAUGAAGAAAGGAGGCCAUGAUCAUAAACACUGCCAUCUGCUGGAGUUUUAUUGUGCUGUCAGGACAGCUGAUCACGGUAUCAAAACCUACCUUGGUUAAUAGUCUAAAAUCAGCAGUAGGUAAAGUAUUCACAUGGUAGAAUUGAAAAAGUCUACAAAAUUCAAGGCUUCCCACUCUCAAGAGAGAGGCAUUAACUGUACCCUAGCAUAUGACUGAAAGGCACAGGGCUUUCCACUUGUCCUAGGUGGACAGAGGAAGAGAACUAUUAGGAACUGCUAUAUUUUGGGUCUUUUUAGAUGCCGGAAAUUGUUGAGGUUAUCAGCAGAAACUUUAGGCGUAUAGACUUUUUGUUAUGUUAUAUAUAGCACAGUUUUCUGGUUCUUCAAAGAACUAAAGCACAUGUAGUAAGACAAGAAAAAAAUAACAGGAAAGGGAGAAUCAUCAGACACACCUUAUCUGCCUGCUUGCUCUGUAGCAUGGGUCUUUGCAGGGAAAGGACGAGUUUAGUUCUGUGAGGGGACUUGUGAGGCAAAACAUGCUGGACGGAUUGUGAGGUGGCAUUCCUGGAGUGAGCUGCAUGUUGAAAAGAGUUUGCGUAAGUUGGGGAAGAUAGGGAAAAGGCAUACAUCAAAGCUCUAGCACUGAGGGAGGGAGCUGAGUCUUGGCUGAAUACAGGGAUCUGGACAAAAGUGGGAGGACCCCAAGAUAGACCAGAAUCUUCAGGCUGUGCAGGAAUAGUUUUCAAGGGUGACAAAGGUGACAGCAGGAAGCAAGGACAAUGACAAGCAGAUCUGAUCUACUUACUGUCUCACAUAGAUGUGAGAACAAGACCGACUGGAUGGGGUAGCUCUGGAAAGGAGGUUUAGAAUGACUGGGAGGGUCAGACAGAUUUCCAUACUAAAACAGUCCUCCCGAGGUUCAUCGAGAGAAAAUAGUUUGUGACCCCAAAUAUCACCUCUGAGUUUUCAUUUUAAUUAUAAAGGUAAAAAUAUAUAUUUAAACUGUAGAAACCUGGUGGUGUCCACAUCAACCAUGUGGUCAAAGGCAGGCAGCAUCACUUCCAAUGAGAACAGUAACUCGGUGACCUCCUGGUGUGACAUCAAAGUAUGUAAGAUGUCUGUCUGUAAAGUAUUCUUGGCAAAUAAGUCUACUUUCUGUUUUCUCUCCUUCCUUCUUUCCUUUCUCUCUCUCUCUCUCUUUUUUUUUUGUGGCCCUAGGCUUUGAACACAAGGUUUUGUGUAUAUGACACAUGCAGUCUACCACUGAGGAAUAGCCCCAUCUUUAUCAAAUAUGUUUAACCCGAGUGUGUCUAACUGUCAGUUUAUAGGAUGUGUAGAAACUAGAAGAUUUGACCAAGACAUUGGGUGACAAUCACGUGAGUUUAGAAUGUGAGGCAGUCAACAAGACAGUUGGCCUGCAACUUUUGAAAGCCCGAUUUCAUGAGAAUUAAGAGUGUCCUGUCGAAGCAGCUGUUGUCCAAAAGGCCAAAGAUCUGUGACAGUCAGACGCACUGCAUUCGAAAAUAAAAAGUCACAAAAAUGAAUUCGGAAACUAUUAUGAAAUUUAACUUGGACUAAACGUUAGAUGGCAUUGGGGUUCUUGUUGCUUCCUUAUUUAUGGUAACAGUGCAGCAUCACAGAAGAUAGGUAUCAUUACUCUUGGGAGAUAGAUGCUAAAGACCGCAGACGUGAAGUGCUUUGAUUAAUAUGGCUUCAGAAAGACAUCUAUACAGAGACGGAGGAAGAAAACAGCAAGCUGUCGAUAACUGUAAGUAUGGUGGGUGUAUAGAUGUUCACUUCCUUUUUUUUUUUUUUUUAAUUCUUUUUUUCAGAGCUGGGGACCGAACCCAGGGCCUUGCGCUUGCUAGGCAAGUGCUCUACCACUGAGCUAAAUCCCCAACCCCAGAUGUUCACUUCCUUAUUCUUUCUGUCUUUAUGGAUGCUCAGCAACUUCAUAAUUAGAAAUAGAGGGGCUGGAAAGAUGGCUCAGAGGAAGAGCACUGGAUGCUCUUCCAGACAACCUGGGUUUGAUUCCUCACACCCACAUGGCCGUUCACAAACCAUCUGUAACUCCGGUUCCAGUCGAUCUAACAUAUUUUUUUUUGUAUUCCAUAGACAGCAUGUGUAAAUGUGGUACAUAGAUGUACAUGCAGGCAAAAUAUCCAGACACAUAUAAACAAAGAAAAGAAAUAGAGGGAGCAAGAUGACUCAGGGGGAAGUCAAAGAAUUCCCUGGAAAAACCGAGCUAUGACAAUUCUGCCUGUGGACCAGCAGUUGGUGAUCUGAAAAAUAGCUCGUGAGUCUUGUUCACCGAGAGUACCCAUUGUGAAGCAGAGCCAUGUGUCAACCCCACCGAGCGGUCACAGGCAGGGCUGCUUGCUUUUAUAUGGGUGGCACUCCUAUUAACAGACCGUCUUUUCGGAUGGUGGGGCAGGGGACAGAUUUCUAGACAAUCGGGGGUGACUACCAGACUCCCAUUUGCAGACACUGUUUUCCAGGAGAGCUGGAAGGUGCAGACUGUUCCCACUGUCUGCAUUACGAAUAGCUUGACUUGUUUAAUUCAGGAUUGGACUGUCUAGAUUUUGGCAUGUUUGUCAGCGGCUGCAGAGAGCCAUGAGCAUGUGCCUGCUGCUGGGGUGCUGGCUGCAGACAGCUGUCAGGUGGGGCUCCUCUGUAGACAGAGGCUCCAGGUGACUGCUCUCCAUUUGACAGCCUGCAUGGGGUCCAGUUCUGUCUUAAUCUGGCUUCCCAGAUCCUUCCGGUGGUGACAGAGGAUGAGCUUUAGUUAUUCCGUGAUCCUCUUUAAAUAGUUGUACAAACCAUACCUCUCACAUACCCCCUUAAUAUCCCUAGCUUCCUGCACGUCUCAACAAAUGAUUAUAAAUCAAGAAAUUUAGGAAUCAUGAGCCUAGUCCAACCUGCAAGCCUUUGUAUCUGACAGAGAAAUUGAGAAUGGGUUAGGAAAGAGAUCAGACUGGUUUUUUUUUUUUAAUUUUUUUGAAGUGUCUGUAUAACACGAUAGAGCUGACCUGCUUUUCGUCCACUGCAGACUGAGCUAAUGGCCCAGUAAAAUUGAUUGAAUAAAACUGAACCACCAGGAGCUUCCACCAUUAGCAUAGAAGCCCGGAGAGCAGAGACAACUCUGAUUGAAAGCUUACAACAGGACACUGAAAACCAGUUUUAGUCUUUAGAAUCCCAUGAGAUGUGAUACAACAGUUGUCCUCUUUUGCUUAGGCUAGAUAUGAACUCUGAGGAAAAGAAGUUAUUGAAACUAUUGACAAUGUUAGCCAUAGUAGCUCAUGUCUGUAAUCCCAGCACUUAGAGAAAGUGAGGCGGAAUGAUUACUGUAAGUUUGGGACUAGCCAGAGUUGCAGAGUAAGACCCUUGGCUCAAAAACAAUGGAAGGGAAAACAAAAAGAAAAACAAAACAGUAUCGUGUUUGCACACACACUCACAUACAUACACGUGCACAUAUGUGUGCACAUGUGUUUGUGCCUGUGUGUAUUAACAUACCGUAUCCCUCCAUCCACUCAUCCUCCAUACCUACCUAGCUCAGAUACUUAGUUGUUUAGCAAAAUGGAUCCCUUGGCAGAACUGACAUAAGGACCCCAGAGAUCAGUUUUCUUUGUGAAAUGGGGAAAACACUUUGUAGAAUAUAAAUAAGCAAUGUAGGCCAGGUGUGGUGGUGUACACCUUUAAAUUCAGCAGAGGCAGGCAGAUCUCUGUGAGUUUGGUUUGAGGGCAGCCUGGACUACAUAUGGAGUUCCAGGACUGCCAGGGCUAUAUAGAGACACUUGUCUCAAAAAACCAAAAUGAAUGAAUGAAUGAAUGAGGCAUGUCAGAGUUUUUAAAGUAAACUUGAGUUUAGAGUGUGAGGGUGUGAGCAGAGAUAACCAUAAGCAAGGACAUUUAGAUCAUGUUGGGGAGGCUCUAAGCCUCCAGAUGCAUAUGGAAGAACCCAUUGGGUCCCUAGGCUGCCUCUCUUACAAGGUGGAAUGGCUGUGGGUAGUGUGACUUGCUGCUCUGAAUCUCUAGUCUCUCAGUCAGUGAUGGGGGGACCUUCCAUGGUGACCCUCCUGUAGCUUCUUCCCAUGACUAAGUGAGCUUUUAUGACAUGCCUGAAUUGUCCUGUAGGAACAACUGUUGCAUUUUUUUUACAUUGUCUGCUGCUAUUAGAUUAGAGGCUCACAGGGGACUUAAUUGGACAUAUCACAAAGGGAAGACCACCUCAAUGACUAAAGGCCUCUGGGCCAUGGUCCCCCAAAUACCUUUCAGCUCAGAUAAAAUUUCAAGUUGAAGGUCUCAUGGAUCUUUGACUCAGUCUUGUGUCAUCUUGUUGCUGUUUGGGUCAAGGACUAUCUUCAUUUGUUCGUUCAUUUAAUUCAUCCCCCAUCUGAUUUGGUUUCAUUCAUAGUUUAUUUGCUUAGUCACUCAUCUUUGGGGAAAAGGGGGAUGGGCUCACACUGAUGAAGCACAACUGCACUCUGUUUCUAGGGUCGAGUUUGAGACGUAAGACCUUGGCGUCAUCUUCAGCUUCCCCGUUUUACUGGUUAGCAGCUCUUCUCACUCCCCGUUGUCAUUCCAGAGGAUCCAUCCAUACUUAGCACACACUGCAACCCUUUCAGCUCAGUAGUGAGUCUUAUCUGUUUCCCACACUGACUUUCUCUACUGUUUGCCCUCUUGAGUCAUCUUGAGCUCUAGCCUAGAUCAUUUGUCUCUCUUUACUUACCACACAGUGGGGUGUGCUUCAGCCCCAUGAGUCCUACCACUGCUUUCCAGAGUCUGCUGUGUCUGUAUGCUCUUAUGAUUAAAAAAAAAAACCCAGGUUAUGCCUUUUUGGUCAAAUCUCCCCCCUACCUUGACAUCCCAUUUGUCCUUCACAAUUGAGAUGUUUGAUUUUAAAUCUCACCCUUCCCGAGAAACCCACCCAGUUUCCUCCAGCUUGGCUCUGUAGCUAUUUGCAAACUUGAAUGAACAUUAAAAGCGUACUUGACACUCAAGUGGUGCUUAGCAAAGUCUGGUUUACAUGGUAACAUGUGUUAAUGCUGUUCACUGGGGGAAUUUGCCAGGGGGCCUGAGCUGAAAUAUACAUUUAUUUCUUCAUUCAGUGUUGGGCCCUCAGUCGGGUCCUAAGAACAUGUCCUUAGAGAUGGGUCUCUAAGGACUGGCUUGAGAGGGAUGGGGACAAAUAGAGAAAUGUAGCAGUAGGGUAGAGAAUACCAUUAAGGUCUGAAGGCUGGGAAUGCAAGGAGAGGUCAUUGGAGUCGGUGAGAGAAUGCCUCACAGAAGCGGAAGUGUUCGAGAUGUAGCUCGAAGGGCACAGAGCCUCCAUUCUUAAUAAUUCUAAGUGACAUUCUUUUUUUUUUGUUUCCCCACAUCUUAAAGCCAAGAUGUAUGACAAUGUUUCUCUCCAACCCCUGAGCUUGGAAGUGAAGACACCACUACACCUGGCUUGAUACCAUUUAUUCUGUUUUUGUUGUUGUUGUUGUUUGUUUUUUGUUCUUAUUUUUGUUUUUUUUUUUGGUUUUUUGUUUUUUACAAUUAAAAAAAUAUACAUUUGGUGUUUGGUCUAUAUAUAUUAGGGAGUCAGAUCCACUGGAACUUGAGUUACAGACAAUUGCAAGCUGCCAUGUGGGUGCUGAGAACUGAACCCAUAUCCUCUGGAAGAACAGCCAAUGCUCUUAACUGCUGAGUCAUCUCUUUAGCCUCAAUACCAUAUAUUCUUAACAAAACUCAGGAAGCUGAGGCAGGAGGAUCAUGAGUUUGAGGCCAGCCUGGGAUAGAACAUAUCACAAAGACAAAGAAAACCAUACAAGAGUAAGUAAGAUUCCUGAGCUGCACUAUACCGCUUCACUUUUAAUAAUGCUGGGUGUUGGGUGGUGAUGUGUUCAUUCCCAGCUGCUGCUUUGAGAAAUCACCAUGAUGUUCUCUUAUGGUUCUUCAGGCCAUAAAUUCAGAUGUGUCUUAAGAAGCGGAAACCAAGAUGGCAGCAGGUCUGAUUCUUUCUAGGGAUUCUUGGGGAGGAAUCUAGAUCUUGUCUUUUCCAGCUGCCAGAGGUCCCUCUGCAUUCCUUGGCUUCAGGUCCUUCCUCCAAUUUACUUCAGUUGUCCUUGGCACGCUGAUUCUGACCCUUUUGCUUCCAAUCAGAUGCACCUGAAUAAUCCAGGUGCAUUUUCCCACCUCAGGAUAUUUACCCUGGCAAAACAAGCUAAUAGCCAAAAGUUCUGGGGAUCAGGACAGGGGUAUCCUUGGGGACAUUGUUCAGGGUACAACAGAAGUAUUUAUUUUGAGGAUGCUGGUAUGUUUUUUGAGCCUAAAUGUGAGAUUAUAGCUACAUCUCAGGAAGAAUCUAGAAUCUUUUUUGUUCCUACAUCUGUUCUUGCCUUGUGAUUAUAUUUCUCUCUCUUGUUCUUGGCAGACUGAUUCCCUCUGCCACCCAGCCAACAUGCAGAAACACGAUCCCUGACAACCUCAGGGUAUGGGCUGUACUUUUUCUUAAUUAAUUAAUUAAUUAGUUAAUUAAUCAAUCACAUUUUUCUUUUAUUGGAUUUUUAAGUUUACAUUUCAAAAGUAAUCCCCUCUCCCGGUUUCCCGGUCAGAAACCCAUUAUCUCCCUCUGCUUCUAUGAGGGUGCUCCUCCACCCACCUAUCCACUUCCUCCUGCCUCCCUGCCCUGAUAUUCUCCUACUGUGGGGCAUUAAACCUUGACAGGACCAAGGGCCUCUCCUCCCAUUGAUGCCCAAUAAGGCUAUUCUUUGCUACAUAUGUGGCUGGAGCCAUAGGUCCAUCUCUGUGUACUCUUGAGAUGGUGGUUUAGUCCCUGGGAGCUCUAGGGGGGUCUGGUUGGUUGAUAUUGUUGUUCUUCUUAUGGGGUUGUAAGCUUCUUCCCCAGCUUGCCUCUUUGUACCAUAAUAUAGGAAGAUGUCAUACAGCUGAAGGAAAGUACAAGAUAGAAUGAGGCCUGUCAUUGGAUGAGAAGGAAGGAUGGGCGGGACAAAAGUUUGAGGGAAGAGGAGGAGAUUGGAACGGAAGGAGACCGGAGAAGAAGCCCCCAAGAGAACAUGGAGGCGGAUGUUAAGAUUCCUCUUUAUACAUUUACAGGUUGUUAUGAAUAUUCUUAAGGGAUGGAUGUGUACAGGGCUUUGUAUGUUGAGGUUGGCAAUUGUAUCUUAUCAAUUGGAUCAGAGGUUAUUGUAUUGUGGGUUCUUUCUCGUGGCGAAUUAAGUUUAAGAAAGUAUGUGGCAGCUGGGACACUAAGCUGCCAUGGAAUUGGGAUGUAUGUUUCUGGCAUGGUGGCAACCUGCCUUGGGAACUGGGUGGGUAGAGAGAUUGUUGCCAGGCUCAGAUAUGUGAUAUGGGUUAGAGCAAAGCGGGUAAGAUGCUUUGCUGACUGAGAUUAAGAUGUCCACCAGAUAUCUUGGGGCACUGUGGUGCUGGAUCUAGUGUGGGGUAAAAGAAAGAUUUUUUUUAAUAAUUUUACAGUAACACCAUCUCUAGUCCAAAUUCCCAAGAGAAGAACUAAUCAACACGUUUAUUGCUACUACCAUGAUCAUCAUUAUUACUUACUGUCUUUUGAUCUCAUAAAGUAACCCAGACCGGCCUUGAACAAUUUUCCUGACUCUAUUUCCCCAGUGCUGGGAUCACAGAUGUGCUCCACCAUGGCUAACUGACUGGCACUCCUAGAUCAUCAACACUUUCAAUCCGAGAAUGCAGCCAAAAGAGUAGCUUCAGCCAGAGCAUAGAGCUGUUCUCCACGGCACAAAUGCUACCAGGAACCGAGCAUUCUGGGUAUAGUUUCUUGUGUCUAUACUGAAGUAUGGUCUCUACACAGAAAGACUUAGCUCACCAGGAAGUGAAGAAGGUGCUGUUUCAGAUAGAGGGUAGUGGCACGUAGUGUUUGUCAGACAGCAGGCAUUCAAGGAACAUGUAUUGAAUUGAGUUGGGAAGUGUCCUUUUACUUUUUAAAAAAUAUUUAUUUAUUUUAUAUAUGUGAGUACACCAUUGUUGUCUUCAGACACACCAGAAGAGGGUGUGAGAACCCAUUACAGAUGGUUGUGAGUCACCAUGUGGUUGCUGGGAUUGAACUCAGGAUCUCUGGAAGAACAGUCAAUGCUCUUAACUGCUGAGCCUUCUCUCCAGCCCUUCCUUUCACUUUUGCCCUGAAGGGAGAUGCCCAAUGAAUUCCACUGCACCUCUCUUUCUAUGCUGCCACAUGCCACAUGCCACAUGCCACAUGCCACAUGCCACAUGCCACAUGCCACAUGCCACAGGCUCUGUCUAGAAUUCUUUAACUACUUUCUUCCUGACGUAGGAUAAAGUCCAGCCUCUAGCCUGGCACUGGUGUAUGGAGUGAUGACUCUCCUCUCUUCUAUCUGGCUCAGAGAAUUAUAACUCCACCAUCACAGAAGUAUUGAAAGGAUCACAUGAACUGAAGGGGACAUUGUACUCAACAGCGCCUCUCAGUGGCAAGUCCUCCGCACAGGGCAGUGUGGCUCCUACUCCCCUGGCAUUUUGGCAGGGUUUCUCAUGGUAGGGACUUGUUUUGCCUGGGACUCUAGUUUGGGAAUACCUGCUUCUACCCGUCAUCUUUAGUCCUACUUAUUCCUUUAUCUUCUGUUAGGCUAGGGGGUUUGUCCUUUCUUCUUAAUUCUAAAGACUUUCGAGUCCUGUUCUUCUCAAAGUCUCAGAGUUAGUUAUGGAGUCCAAUUUCCUACCCAAAUGUGGGAAACCAUCCACGCGCUGUCUUUCCAGGGGGCCAUUAGCUUCUCCUUGAGCACUGUGAAUGCUGAUGAGCCAUACUUAGGAUGCUCAUUCCCAUCUCUCCCCAACAGCUCUAAUUAAAUAAUGAAAACAUGCAAUUAUCUUUUUAGUCAUGACUGUCUUGCCUUUUUAAUAAAAAUUUCAGUUCUUCCACAGGAACAAAGUAACUGCUCGAAAGGCAUUGAUUAUAUUUAUGCCUUAAAUUAUAAUUUCAUGACAUUAGUAGUUAAACCACUUCUCCCAUUUUUCUUCUAACUAUACCAUUCGUUGGAGGCAAUGGCUUGCAUCUGAAGGCUCAUGAUUACCGGAUGACAUCUAGAAUGGACUUUAACACAAAGUCAGUAAAGAAAACUGUGACAACUAAGAUCUGGGUCUUGGAUUGAGUUUGCCAUCCCUUCACGGAGAGGCAGCCAACUGGUUCUGACCACGUGUGGGGAACUGGUGAAGAUGUCGGGAACCUUUCAGGACUCAGACGGGCAGUUCAGAAUUGGGUGUGACAUGUGCCACACCAGCCACAUUAAGAACUUGGGUGCAGGAGGAGAAGUCAGAUGAACAACCAGUCCUGGGUCAAAUUCAGAACAUCUGACCUCUUCUAUGUAGAUGAUGUUUGGGAUUUACUGUGUUGGGGUCCAUAGGGAUAUGAGGUAAUGGGUGAGUCUUUUAGUCUCACACUCACAUGGGGAGAAAGAACUAGCUUUGAACUAAUAAAAAACAGGAAGAAGGGGGACAAAAAAAAUAUCCAGUGCCUCCAGGCACAAGGCUGAUUCUCAUCCUGUGCCUCAUAUUCUUUAGCAAUCUGCCUCCCCUGGGGGCUAGAGUCAUGCUGGCACUGAAGCCCCCUCAGAGUUGGUCCAGUUCCCGACACCAUGAUGCAGGGAUCAUGCGUUUCCAGAAGAAGAUGGCCAGUUUUUCUAGGAGAGUUAAGACAGGAAUUGUCACCUCUUGGUGAAUCUGGAUGAUCUAUAUCCCCUCUUAGAUGACACAUAGAAAUCAGUAGAUCUUGAUUUUACUAGGGAUGACCAGCAUAAGGAUGGCCAUCAACGCUCAGUGAAAUUAACUUGAAAAAGGAAAGGAAAAGUUGUUCUUCUUUAGUCAGAACCAGCCCCCUCUUUUAUGGACUUUAACCUGAGAGACAGGAUGCUGGACUUGUAGAUACAAGACACAGCACAGGGCAAACCUAGUGUCAAGAAAAGGCUUCCCUGUUCAUUUUGGGAGCAUUUUGACUGUGCGAAUUAGAUCCAUUCCUUCCCAGAAGUUGAAUGGGGACUUCUUUAGAAGAAGGGGUAACUCUUCAGAGUUACCUGGUGCUUCAUCAAACAAUCACCCCACUCCCACCUCUGGGCCUGGCUCAUCCACAGGGUGUGAAAGCCACAGGGCAAGAAGGGAGGUAAUGGACGAGCAUUACCAUGGGACCACUCGCUCACAGUGAUCUGUGCACUUCUGUCUUGUCAUUGUGUACCUUCGAUUUUCAUCUCUGGUUUAGCAAUUUGCACCCAGGAAGCCCUAAAGAAUCCAGGACGUGUCUUUCAUAUAUCACAGAUGCCCCCACACCUAGACCUUGGGACUCCAGAGUGGUGCUACCUUGUCAUCUCUGGGUCCCCUAGCUAUUGCAACUUGUAGUUGAUACUUUAUUUCAUAUCAUUCACUCAGAGCUUUAAAAAAAUCGAAAAAAAAAAAAGAGAAAAGAAA